UCCGAAAAUUAAUGAGCUGAACUUUUUCUGUUAAGAACUCAUAAAUAAGUGUCUCAAUACUUUUUAGAGAAAAAAAUUCAGAAGCUACAUACCUAUCGCAUUAAUAUAUAUCUGAUUUUUCUUAAACCAGCCUUAGCUGUAAAAAUUGUAACCAAAAAUUAUCCAAAAAACAAUUUUUAAAAAUAUAAAAGGACAAGCUUUUAUAUUAUAUUAUAUAAAUAAAAUAUUUAGUAGGCCUAAAAACAGCCACCAUUUAUCACGUUACACUACAAAUUAAAUUCAAAUUUUAUGUAUAAAAAGAAAUAUCUAUUUUAAUCAAAAAUCUAUUAACAAUGCAAAGACUAGUAUUAUUAAUAUAAUCCCUCCUUAUUACCCUAAUAUAUACUCAAGGAACUCGGCAAAUUAGAUUCCGACUGUUUAACAAAAACAUAGCCUAAUGACUUCUUAUGUAGGUAAAUUCUGCCCAGUGAAUAUUUAACGGCCGCGGUAUUCUGACCGUGCAAAGGUAGCAUAAUCAUUUGCCCCUUAAUUAGGGGCUAGCAUGAAUGAAUUCACGAGAUUCUAGCUGUCUCAAGUAUACAAAGAUAAACUAGCCUUUAGGUGAAGAGACCUAAAUUUAUUUAAAAGACAAGAAGACCCUGUCGAGCUUUAAUAUAAUAAAGAAAUAAAAUAAUUACUCUUUUUAAAUAUUUUUGUUGGGGCGACAAAGGAACAUAUAAAUCUUCCUAAUAUAUAAAGACCUCAAGUCAAUCCUUAGACCCAUUUAUAAUGAUCAAAGAAUAAAGCUACCGCAGGGAUAACAGACUUAUUCUCCUCAAGAGUUCAAAUCUACAGGAGAGAUUGGCACCUCGAUGUUGGCUUAGGAAUUCUCUUAGGUGUAGAAGCCUAACAAGAGGGUUGUUCAACCCUUAAU
rnacentral:rRNA from 1 species